AGGGAUAGCACAGCUUUUUUGAGCUUUUCUUGUGAAGACUGUGUCUACUGUUGGGGAGGAUGCUAUUUCAUGCCCAUGUGAAGACUUUGCAGGACCAGAAGACAACCAUCUCAGGAAG